AGAGUUUGAUCAUGGCUCAGAUUGAACGCUGGCGGCAUGCCUUACACAUGCAAGUCGAACGGUAACAGGUCUUCGGAUGCUGACGAGUGGCGAACGGGUGAGUAAUACAUCGGAACGUGCCCGAUCGUGGGGGAUAACGGAGCGAAAGCUUUGCUAAUACCGCAUACGAUCUACGGAUGAAAGCAGGGGACCGCAAGGCCUUGCGCGGACGGAGCGGCCGAUGGCAGAUUAGGUAGUUGGUGGGAUAAAAGCUUACCAAGCCGACGAUCUGUAGCUGGUCUGAGAGGACGACCAGCCACACUGGGACUGAGACACGGCCCAGACUCCUACGGGAGGCAGCAGUGGGGAAUUUUGGACAAUGGGCGAAAGCCUGAUCCAGCCAUGCCGCGUGCAGGAUGAAGGCCUUCGGGUUGUAAACUGCUUUUGUACGGAACGAAAAGACUCCUUCUAAUAAAGGGGGUCCAUGACGGUACCGUAAGAAUAAGCACCGGCUAACUACGUGCCAGCAGCCGCGGUAAUACGUAGGGUGCAAGCGUUAAUCGGAAUUACUGGGCGUAAAGAGCGCGUAGGCGGUCCGUUAAGUGUAGAGUGAAAGCUCCGGGCUCAACUCGGAAAUUGCUCUGCAUACUGGCGGACUCGAGGACGGAAGAGGUUUGUGGAAUUCCUGGUGUAGCGGUGAAAUGCGUAGAUAUCAGGAGGAACACCCAUGGCGAAGGCAGCAAACUGGUCCGUAUCUGACGCUGAGGCGCGAAAGCGUGGGUAGCAAACAGGAUUAGAUACCCCGGUAGUCC
rnacentral:rRNA from 1 species